rnacentral:rRNA from 1 species
GACGAACGCUGGCGGCGUGCUUAACACAUGCAAGUCGAACGGAAAGGCCCUGCUUUUGUGGGGUGCUCGAGUGGCGAACGGGUGAGUAACACGUGAGUAACCUGCCCUUGACUUUGGGAUAACUUCAGGAAACUGGGGCUAAUACCGGAUAGGAGCUCCUGCUGCAUGGUGGGGGUUGGAAAGUUUCGGCGGUUGGGGAUGGACUGGCGGCUUAUCAGCUUGUUGGUGGGGUAGUGGCUUACCAAGGCUUUGACGGGUAGCCGGCCUGAGAGGGUGACCGGCCACAUUGGGACUGAGAUACGGACCAGACUCGUACGGGAGGCAGCAGUGGGGAAUAUUGCACAAUGGGCUGAAGCCUGAUGCAGCGGCGCCGCGUGCGGGAUGACGGCCUACGGGUUGUAAACCGAUGUCGCCGGUGACGAAGAGGGAGUGACGGUAAUGGGUAAAGAAGCACCGGCUAACUACGUG